AUGACAACACACCUGGAGGGUCUACCUGUGUAUGCUACCAAGCUGGAGAUGACCCUGUUGAAAGACUACAACUUCAACGAUGCUCUAGCAGACAUCAUCCACCUGAACAGCAGUUCUGAUGUGGAGGAGUUGGAGGAGGAGAUGGAUGGAGGUGCAAUGGGAGAGAAUGAGUUUGUAGGUAUGAUCACUGUGGAGGCUCUGCAGGCCCUACAGGAGGCAGAGGGCAGCAGUGAUGAUGGCAACUCCAGCUCCAGUGGUGAUGGUGUCUGGAUGGAUGAAAUCCCAGUGGAAGAGCUAAGAAACCCAUUUCUAUUGAGGAAAAGAAGGGCGUCCUGUCCUCCUUGUUUUUCAAAAUAA
rnacentral:lncRNA from 13 species